UACGUAGGGGGCAAGCGUGGUCCGGAAUCAUUGGGCGUAAAGAGCGUGUAGGCGGCCAGAUAAGUCCGCUGUGAAAUCUCGAGGCUCAACUUCGAGCUGUCGGUGGAAACUGUCUGGCUAGAGUCCGGAAGAGGAGAAUGGAAUUCCUGGUGUAGCGGUGAAAUGCGCAGAUAUCAGGAAGAACACCCGUGGCGAAGGCGGUUCUCUGGGACGGUACUGACGCUGAGACGCGAAAGCGUGGGGAGCGAACAGG
rnacentral:rRNA from 1 species